rnacentral:tRNA from 1 species
GAGGAUGUAGCUCAGUGGUAGAGCGCGUGCUUAGCAUGCACAAGGUCCUGGGUUCAAUCCCCCGUACCUCCA